UGGUUUGAGUCGAUUUUAUUA
ensembl:piRNA 21ur-4858 ncRNA